rnacentral:lncRNA from 1 species
GAAGAGGCAAGAUUGGUUGCUGAUGCCUAUCUGCACUCUCCAAGACCCUAUUCAGAUACAUUAGCAGCUUUGAAUGACAAGUUUGGCCAGCCACAUCAAUUAGCCCUGAAGCGAAUUGCCACUGUGAUGGAGUCUCCAGAUGUAAGACGUGGUGACACUGCUGCAUUUGAGAGGUUUGCACUUCAGAUCCAGUCACUUGUAGGCUUGCUUAGCACCCUUGGCUCUGAGGGACAAGUGGAGUUACGGUGUGGUUCACAUGUUGCCCGCCUACUGAGCAAGCUACCACCGGAGCAGAGAGCAGACUUCCGUCGCUACAUGUUUCCUCAAGCUGGGACCAGUUACACUCUGAAGGACCUGGCUGACUGGCUAAGGCAUGAGGCCUGGUGUCAGGAUUUUGAUGGUCAACUACCUACGAGGAUGGGAAGGGAGAAACUGGGACCCAAGGUCGAGACACGCCCAUGGAAGCGAUCUGUUGCUGUUUUGCAUGGAUCCAAGGAUGGAACCUCAGUAGAGGAGGUUCAAAGGGCUAUCUUAAGAAAGGGCAAGAGCCAACCUUACUGCCCAUUCUGUGACAAUUCAGAGCACUAUCUUAGUCAGUGUACUGCUAUCUCCAAGCUCACCACAGAGCAAGUGACAAAUUGGAUAAAGGCCAACAAGAGAUGUUGGCGAUGUGCCCGAUCCCACCAUGCAGCACAGUGUAAUCUCAAGAAACCCUGUAGUCUAUGCAAUAGGAGGCAUCUGCAGAUUCUACAUGAGGUAAAUGACCGAUACACUGAAGGCUCGGCAAAGUCCACAAAUAAAGAGAGAUGUGCUGCGAGCCCAGCUACUGAGGUGCUCUACUUAGAUAGACCCACUGAAGGACAGCGAGUCUUGUUGAAGGUUGUGCGUGUUCUUCUCCAUCAUGGUGAUAAGAUCAUUGACACCUUCGCAGUUUUGGAUGAUGGGUCUGAGAGAACAAUGUUAUUACCUUCUGCGGCUCAGAAACUAGGUCUAAAAGGCACACCGGAGGAGCUACCUUUACGUACCAUCAGACAAGAUGUGCAAAAUCUCCAUGGGUUUUCGGUCUCCUUCUCUGUCUCCUCCCCUGCAUCUCCAAAGAUCAAACAUCCGAUUUCCAGAGCUUUCACAGCAACUCGCAUUGACCUAGCAGACCACACCUACCCCAUGAAUCUACUUAAGAGGAAGUAUAGCCAUUUGGUUGGUCUCCCCAUACCUUCUUUCAAGAGG